rnacentral:rRNA from 1 species
CCAAUAGCGUAUAUUAAAGUUGUUGCAGUUAAAAAGCUCGUAGUUGAAUUUCGGGGUUAGUAGGCUGGUCAUGCCUCUGGUAUGUACUGGUCUCACUGAUUCCUCCUUCCUGAUGAACCGUAAUGCCAUUAAUUUGGUGUUUCGGGGAAUUUGGACUGUUACUUUGAAAAAAUUAGAGUGUUUAAAGCAGGCUAACGCUUGAAUACAUUAGCAUGGAAUAAUGAAAUAGGACGUUCGAUCCUAUUUUGUUGGUUUCUAGGAUUGACGUAAUGAUUAAUAGGGAUAGUUGGGGGCAUUAGUAUUCAAUUGUCAGAGGUGAAAUUCUUGGAUUUAUUGAAGACUAACUACUGCGAAAGCAUUUGCCAAGGAUGUUUUCAUUAAUCAAGAACGAAAGUUAGGGGAUCGAAGACGAUCAGAUACCGUCGUAGUCUUAACCAUAAACUAUGCCGACUAGGGAUCGGAUGAUGUUAAUUUUUUAAUGACUCAUUCGGCGCCUUACG